rnacentral:rRNA from 1 species
UAGAGUUUGAUCCUGGCUCAUGAUGAACGCUGGCGGCGUGCCUAACACAUGCAAGUCGAGCGAUUCUCCUCGGAGAAGAGCGGCGGACGGGUGAGUAACGCGUGGGUAACCUGCCCUGUACACACGGAUAACAUACCGAAAGGUAUGCUAAUACGAGAUAAUAUGCUUUUAUCGCAUGGUAGAAGUAUCAAAGCUCCGGCGGUACAGGAUGGACCCGCGUCUGAUUAGCUAGUUGGUAAGGUAGCGGCUUACCAAGACGACGAUCAGUAGCCGACCUGAGAGGGUGAUCGGCCACAUUGGAACUGAGACACGGUCCAAACUCCUACGGGAGGCAGCAGUGGGGAAUAUUGCACAAUGGGCGAAAGCCUGAUGCAGCAACGCCGCGUGAGCGAUGAAGGCCUUCGGGUCGUAAAGCUCUGUCCUCAAGGAAGAUAAUGACGGUACUUGAGGAGGAAGCCCCGGCUAACUACGUGCCAGCAGCCGCGGUAAUACGUAGGGGGCUAGCGUUAUCCGGAAUUACUGGGCGUAAAGGGUGCGUAGGUGGUUUCUUAAGUCAGA